rnacentral:rRNA from 1 species
AGUGAACGCUGGCGGUAGGCCUAACACAUGCAAGUCGAACGGCAGCACAGUAAGAGCUUGCUCUUACGGGUGGCGAGUGGCGGACGGGUGAGGAAUACAUCGGAAUCUACUUUUUCGUGGGGGAUAACGUAGGGAAACUUACGCUAAUACCGCAUACGACCUACGGGUGAAAGCAGGGGAUCUUCGGACCUUGCGCGAUUGAAUGAGCCGAUGUCGGAUUAGCUAGUUGGGCGGGUAAAGGCCCACCAAGGCGAGGAUCCGUAGCUGGUCUGAGAGGAUGGUAGGCGACACUGGAACGGAGCCACGGACAAGACUCCUGAGGGAGGCAGCAGUCGGGAAUAUUGGGCAAUGGGCGGAAGCCUGACCCAGCCAUACCGAGUGGGUGAAGAAGGCCUUCGGGUUGUAAAGCCCUUUUGUUGGGAAAGAAAAGCAGCCGGUUGAUACGCCGCUGUUCUGACGGUACCGAAUGAAUAAGCACCGGCUAACUUCGUG